CCUCCAAUGACAUAGACAAGGUCCUUGUGUGAUACCACUGCGUGGCCGUAGACUGCAUAGGGAAGGGAAUCAGCUUCACCCCACUUGAAGGACAGGCGGUCGUAGCACAGCACCGAAUCCAAGGUCUUCUCUCCCUCCUUCAGCUCUUUCCCUCCGACCACAAAAAUGGAGUUUUCUGCCUCUCCCAGGCCAAAGAGGCAGCGAGGGGAGGGCAAGGGGGGCAUCCCCAGCCAGUCC
rnacentral:lncRNA from 1 species